AUACUCGACCUAUUAAAAAAAAAGUAUAUUCUACAACUAAUUAUUACUCUGCUACUACUCUCGGUCGACUUGAAACAUCAAAUGUAGCAACGCACCAUGCUGACAUACUUCACACAUUGACGUCAGACGCCACGUGCUGAUUAAAUAUGACGUGGUUUAGUCGCAGGCGUUUGCUUGACUGCCAUUUUGAAACUGGGGACAUUUCGCUGAACAUAACAUUUAGUAGUAUUUUUGUAACAGCGUGUGUAUCUUGUGUGUGACUUAAAUGUUUCGGAAAGGGAUUCUUUUGGCAAAGUCAUAACUAUUUCGUUUACUACAGUUGUUUUCAUCAACAAAACUAAAAUUAAGAUGUCGACGACAGAGGCUCUGCAUCAUCAUAUCAGUAGCAUAAUUUCAUGAUUUUGGCAUCGUACACGACAUAUUCAAAUGGAUAAAGAUAAUAGAGAGGUUUUGGUCACACACGGUUAGCGUCACGACUACAUUUAGUUAAAUGUAGGAUUCCGUAACCGUUUAUAGGGAACUGUCUAUCUGGUUUUUUACUUGUGUAGCAAGCUCGAUAUCCGUGAAAAUGAGACGUGUAAAGUUAACGUUUCAGAGGAAAACCUCACAAAAGCGCAAAAACAAUGACGUCAUAGCUCCUAUUCGUAGUCGUACUAACUGUGUGCGAUCGCAGUCUCUCUAUUAACUAGUUAGUGAUGUCAGAUAUCUGCUUUAUCCUGUUCAGGCCUUCACAGGAUACCCGCCGUCAUUAACGAGUUAUUCUGUUAUUUUAAUGACGUCAGUAUUCGAAUGACGUCACUGCAUAUCCUAGAGUAACUACUGGAUAAAUAACGCUGCGGUUUUAGAACGUUGGAAAAUUUAUUUCAGGGCUCGAACAUAAGAAUUUAAUAAAAACCCACGGCAAUUCGUUUUUAAAGUAGCAAAUAAACAUGACUGAAAGGUUAUUUUUCUGUA
rnacentral:misc_RNA from 1 species